AUGGGCAGAGCACCUGAGGUCUGCAGUCAGCAGCCCAGUCCGGGUGAUGCCUCCUGGGAAGGGGCCCAGACUUGGGGGUAACGGCGUCACUGAUGUGGGUCCCUGGCCCCACUGUGGGGUGUCCAGGGUUGUGCCUAUUGGACCGCCCGCCUCACCAUCCCACGCUACUGAGCCUCCUUCCUCAGCCAUUGUCCAGCUUCGUGUCAAGUCCUGGCGUGGGGCUCACCGCCUGCCCCUUGACCGUGGAGUUCGGACGCGUCUCACAGUGAGUGCCCCAGCAGAGCAGGGUUGGGUGCUGAGCAUCAGCAGCUCUGCCAGAGCAAGUGGCAAUUCCCUGGAACCUGGGGUCUUGCCUUUGUUUGGAGACCGAGAGACUCACAGUGUGGGAGGGUCACAGGACAUGUCAUCAGCAGUGAAAAGGUUUUGUUCCGUUUCCUGCCUUCAGAACUUGCACGUGCUGGAAUCCAAGGAUGGGUGGGAGAGGGGCCGUUCCUGGAGAUGUCUGCCCUUCGGGGCUGGCCCAUGCCACAGGACCUCCCAUCACCCCUGCUGCCUUGGUUGGUGAAUUCGGGGCAUGCUGAGCCUUUCCCUUGCAGCCUUUGCACUUGCUACUCUUCCCUCCGCUUAUCAAACUCCUAA
rnacentral:lncRNA from 1 species